UACGUAGGGUGCGAGCGUUGCCCGGAUUUAUUGGGCGUAAAGGGCGCGUAGGCGGCUCGGCACGUCCGUUGUGAAAUCGCCCGGCUCAACUGGGCGGGGUCGGCGGAUACGGCCGAGCUGGAGCAAGCUAGGGGGUAAUGGAAUUCCCGGUGUAGUGGUGGAAUGCGUAGAUAUCGGGAGGAAUACCUAUGGCGAAAGCAGGCUACUGGACCG
rnacentral:rRNA from 1 species